rnacentral:rRNA from 1 species
UGCGUAGGCGGGCAGGUAAGUCAGUGGUGAAAUCCUGGAGCUCAACUCCAGAACUGCCAUUGAUACUAUCUUUCUUGAAUAUUGUGGAGGUAAGCGGAAUAUGUCAUGUAGCGGUGAAAUGCUUAGAUAUGACAUAGAACACCUAUUGCGAAGGCAGCUUACUACGCAUAUAUUGACGCUGAGGCACGAAAGCGUGGGGAUCAAACA